GAUGAACGCUGGCGGCGUGCCUAAUACAUGCAAGUCGAGCGAACAGACGAGGAGCUUGCUCCUCUGACGUUAGCGGCGGACGGGUGAGUAACACGUGGAUAACCUACCUAUAAGACUGGGGUAACUUCGGGAAACCGGAGCUAAUACCGGAUAAUAUAUUGAACCGCAUGGUUCAAUAGUGAAAGACGGUUUUGCUGUCACUUAUAGAUGGAUCCGCGCCGCAUUAGCUGGUUGGUAGGUAACGGCUUACCAAGGCAACGAUGCGUAGCCGACCUGAGAGGGUGAUCGGCCACACUGGAACUGAGACACGGUCCAGACUCCUACGGGAGGCAGCAGUAGGGAAUCUUCCGCAAUGGGCGAAAGCCUGACGGAGCAACGCCGCGUGAGUGAUGAAGGUCUUCGGAUCGUAAAACUCUGUUAUUAGGGAAGAACAAAUGUGUAAGUAACUAUGCACGUCUUGACGGUACCUAAUCAGAAAGCCACGGCUAACUACGUG
rnacentral:rRNA from 1 species